rnacentral:rRNA from 1 species
GAUGAACGCUGACAGAAUGCUUAACACAUGCAAGUCAACUGUGGCGGACGGGUGAGUAACGCGUAAAGAACAUGCCUAACAGAUAGGGACAACAUUUGGAAAAGAAUGCUAAUACCUGAUACUGUGAGAGAUCUUUGCGUCCCCUUAGCUAGAGGGAGAGGUAACGGCUCACCAAGGAGAUGAUGGGUAGCCGGCCUGAGAUGGUGAUCGGCCACAAGGGGACUGAGACUCGGCACUUACUCCUACGUGAGGCAGCAGUGGGGAAUAGUGGACGAUGGACCAAAGUCUGAUCCAGCAAUUCUGUGUGCACGAUGAAGUUGUCGGAAUGUAAAGUGCUUUCAGUUGGGAAGCAGUACCAACAGAAGAAGUGACGGCUAAAUACGUGCCAGCAGCCGCGGUAAUAC